AUUGAACGCUGGCGGCAUGCCUUACACAUGCAAGUCGAACGGCAGCACGGGUGCUUGCACCUGGUGGCGAGUGGCGAACGGGUGAAUAAUACAUCGGAACGUACCUUAUCGUGGGGGAUAACGCAGCGAAAGCUGUGCUAAUACCGCAUACGCCCUGAGGGGGAAAGCGGGGAUCGCAAGACCUCGCGCGAUUAGAGCGGCCGAUGCCUGAUUAGCUUGUUGGUGGGGUAAAAGCCCACCAAGGCGACGAUCAGUAGCUGGUCUGAGAGGACGAUCAGCCACACUGGGACUGAGACACGGCCCAGACUCCUACGGGAGGCAGCAGUGGGGAAUUUUGGACAAUGGGGGCAACCCUGAUCCAGCAAUGCCGCGUGAGUGAAGAAGGCCUUCGGGUUGUAAAGCUCUUUUGUCAGGGAAGAAACACCGGCUCUAACACAGUCUGGGAAUGACGGUACCUGAAGAAUAAGCACCGGCUAACUACGUGCCAGCCGCCGCCGUAA
rnacentral:rRNA from 1 species